AACGGGGGGGCUGGCGUUAUAUUCAUCAUGGACUGGGUGUAUAGGGAUUAAAGGUGGUUUAUUAAAUUAAAUGUGAAAGGCUAUAGGAAUUUAUCUUAUGCAAACCAUUUAACACUGAUAAAAACUUGAGUAAAAUAGAAGAAAAAUGGUACUCUUGGUGUAAGAAGGUGGUAUUCGUUGAUAUCGAUGGGGACUGUCAAUGGCUAAGAACUAUUUUCUAGGUAAUUACUGUUUACAACUGAAGAUCUAAAGCAUGGGCGCAAACAGG
rnacentral:rRNA from 1 species